rnacentral:rRNA from 1 species
CGAAAGAUGGUUUUCUUCGGACACUCUUCAAGGUGCUGCAUGGUUGUCGUCAGCUCGUGCCGUGAGGUGUCGGGUUAAGUCCCAUAACGAGCGCUAACCCUUACCGUUAGUUACCAUCAGGUUAAGCGUGGGGACUCUAGCGGGACUGCCACCGUAAGGUGAGGAGGAAGGUGGGGAUGACGUCAAAUCAGCACGGCCCUUAUGUCCAGGGCUACACACGUGUUACAAGUGGACCGGUACAAAGGGCAGCUACUUCGCGAGAAGAUGCUAAUCUACGAAAGCCGGUCUCAGUUCGGAUCGAAGUCUGCAACCCGACUUCGUGAAGCUGGAUUCGCUAGUAAUCGCGCAUCCAGCCAUGGCGCGGUGAAUACGUUCCCGGGCCUU